rnacentral:rRNA from 1 species
UUAACGAAUCGCAUGGCCUUGCGCCGGCGAUGGUUCAUUCAAAUUUCUGCCCUAUCAACUUUCGAUUGUAGGAUAGAGGCCUACAAUGGUCUUAACGGGUAACGGGGAAUUAGGGUUCGACUCCGGAGAGGGAGCCUGAGAAACGGCUACCACAUCCAAGGAAGGCAGCAGGCGCGCAAAUUACCCAAUGCUAAUUCAGCGAGGUAGUGACAAUAAAUACUGAUACGGGGCUCUUUCGGGUCUCGUAAUUGGAAUGAGUACAAUCUAAAUCCCUUAACGAGGAACAAUUGGAGGGCAAGUCUGGUGGACGUUCUUCAGUUCUCCCAAACUGCUGACGCCAGACAGAGUGGGUCUUUUGGUGUGUCAAAAGACCUGCUAGUCGAGUAUCCAUUCGCGUGAUAGGUGGAUGCCGGCAAGACAACCUGGAUCGGGGAAGGCUAAGGGACCCCGUUGGGUCCUACGCUGAUCCCGAGCAGAGCACCGCGUGGGUGCCUGUGUAGAGCGCGCGAAGGUGUCGGCCGUCCCCCUAAAAGGACGGCUUGAGGUACGUGCCAUUCCCGCCUGAAAGGGCGCCGGUGACCAGAGCACCUAUCAUGCAAAGGUCACUGGGGAUCAACCUACUUAUAGGUGUCCGGUGCAAUCAAGGCCAGCAGCCGCGGUAAUUCCAGCUCCAAUAGCGUAUAUUAAAGUUGUUGCCGUUAAAAAGCUCGUAGUUGAACCUUGGACCUGGCUGAUCUGUCCUCCUAAUCGAGCGCACGGAUUCGGUCGGGUCUUUCCUUCUGGGGAGCCCCAUGCCCUUCACUGGGUGUGGUGGGGAACCAGGACUUUUACCUUGAAAAAAUUAGAGUGUUCAAAGCAGGCCUUUGCUCGAAUACAUUAGCAUGGAAUAAUAGAAUAGGACAUCGGUUCUAUUUUGUUGGUUUCUAGGACCGCUGUAAUGAUUAAUAGGGAUAGUCGGGGGCGUCAGUAUUCAAUUGUCAGAGGUGAAAUUCUUGGAUUUAUUG